rnacentral:rRNA from 1 species
UUUAUUGGAGAGUUUGAUCCUGGCUCAGGAUGAACGCUGGCGGCGUGCCUAAUACAUGCAAGUCGAGCGAAUGGAUUGAGAGCUUGCUCUCAAGAAGUUAGCGGCGGACGGGUGAGUAACACGUGGGUAACCUGCCCAUAAGACUGGGGUAACUCCGGGAAACCGGGGCUAAUACCGGAUAACAUUUUGAACUGCAUGGUUCGAAAUUGAAAGGCGGCUUCGGCUGUCACUU